rnacentral:lncRNA from 1 species
ACCCAGACCCAGUACCCAGAUCUCGAACUCUCAAGUGAAGUCUCAAUCUCUCAUCCCAAAACUAGAACUCUAACUCUCAAGUUGUCGACGGCCAUCGGCGCAUCGCCUCCCUCAUCGCCUUCGUCGGCCCUUUAUCCGUCAUCAUCUGUUAAUCUUGAAGAGACGAAACCAUAGUAGAGAUAUUAUAGAUUUGCUAGCUCAAAACUGACCCCAUCUUCUAUCCCCGAGUCCCCGGCCCGACAAUUCAUUCAUCUUUAAGAUCUUCUAAUUUUAUUUUUAUGGGGUUUUUUCUACCUACAAAUGCUUUGGUUAAGUCUGAUUUUCUUGGUAAUUUGAUAGAUUUUUUUAGUAGAAUUUUUAGACCAGUUUGUAACUUUUUUUUUUUCCAGAUUUAUGAGCUGUAGAGAUUUGAGUAUUUGACCAAAUUUGCAGUUUUUAGUAGGUUAGUCUUCUCAGCCUUCUUCCGUUCAUUUACUAGAGAGUAAGAUGUUAAUUGUUUUUUCUUUUAUAUAUUGAUUGAGCUCAUUUAUGUUCACACUUGAAAUCUGUUGAAAUUUGAGAUAUCUAGUACAGAUUACUGUAAUUUUUUAGGUAUAUCAAGGAGAGGAUAAGAUAAUGUACUUAAGAGACCAAACCCACAUGUGCUAUAUAUUUUAAUGAUCCCGGUAAUUUGUCACAAUGAAUAUGCUUGCUAUUUGUGGUUGAUUUUUUUUUUAGCUAGGAACAUUUGCCAUUUGUUUAGCUUAAACCCCAAGCUUAGAUUUUAGGUAUUAGAAGACAUAGGUUUUACUUGGAAUCUCUUCUAAUGUUAUGUAAAUAGGGAGAAUUUUAUUUGGCAGAUCAUACAAUAAACUUUUUGUUGAAUGUUUCCUUCUUUUAUUUUGUAAGUGGGAUGUAGAGGUUAAUUUAACUUUAGAUUAAAAGUAAGUAUUAAAUACCCAAAAAAAGGAAAAAAGAGAAGCUGUUUGUGAUAAAGUUUUGCAGUCUAGUCUAGUUUAAUUUUUAAUCUGCUAAAAAUGCUUUCUUGGAUAGCAUUAUCCCAUGAGUGUGGCUGGUCUCAUUGCCAUUUAAAUCAUUCCCUCUUAACAUUACAUGUUAGUGUUCACUGGUGGGUUGUUGAAGUUGACUUUAGACAGGUGCAGGAGAUUAUCUCCUCUCUCUUUGUAAAUUUUGACAUGUUAUUUGUGUUUCUUUAAUGUUUUGCUGCUCAAGAUGGCUUGGUAGUGUAUUAAGUUUAUGAAUGUUUGUUAAUGUGCAGUAUGCAUUAAACUUGUUCUUUAUUCACCAUUAUCAUACUGGUUGCACACCAGUAAUUAUGUGCUUAUGAAAUAUUCAAAUUAGUUUUAUGUAGCAUGAGCAGUGUUCUCCCAUUAUCAUAUUUAUUGCAUGCUUAACACUUAAAUGUUCUUAUUGAGGAACCAAAUUAGAUUAGCAAUCUGCGUAUUUUAUUUAGUAGACAAGAAUGGUUCUUUUUUCGUAAGACUGCAACAACAUUAUGAGAAAGUUAACCUAUAAAUAUUAACUAAUUAUCUGCAAUUAAUGAACGUUAUAAGUAGACCACCCUUGAUCUAUUGCUCAUGUCAAUAUUACUGCAUUGCAGCAAAAUAACUACUCCCUCCGUUCCCUAAAAAGAAUUACAUUUCUAUGGGAAGUUUGAUAAAGCAAUUCAAUCUGGUUGGUCAGAACAUUUGUGUUUGUUGUGUUAUUGUAGUACUACCAUAAUAAGAUCAUGUUGGAACUUGGAAAUGUAUGAUGUGAGAGUCAUUUCAUAACUUAUUUUAUCGUUUUUAACUUGCAAACACAUUCCUUUGAGUAAACCAAAGUUGUCAAUUCUUUACAUCAACUGUAUUUGACUAAUUAUCUUACAUGUUAUAAGUUUGGUGCAGAUUAUGUCUUGGUGCAGGUCAAAUGACCUAUGUUGCACCUCCCUUCCAUUCCGGAUCUGUGGCGGCUAGUCCAAUCUUUGUUCAACCCAGCCUCUGUGGUAUCCCUGAUAUGCUUGUGUCUUCCCCAACUCGGCCUCCUCCUAUCUCGACUUCUCAAAAUCAGCUUGCCUACCACAAAAACCAGCGGUCCAACACUUCCAUUACCAACAGCAGCAUCACUUCUCUCCUAUGUUUAUGGUGUUAAUCAUAGUACAAAGUGGAGAUGCAAAGAUUGCAGACCACACAUCAUUUAUUAAAGAUGUAGCUGUGACUAAACCACCCAAGCAUCUGCAACACCUUCUAAGAAUGCUUCAGGUUAGAGGUAAUGCAUUGACCAUUACAAACUCAUGCUAUUCAGACUGAGGGAUUACCAGUUAUUUCAAUUUAAUGAGCAGAAGUUUGUUAAUAUAUUUGACAACAUCCAACAUUUCCCCUGAUUUAUCCGCUUUCUCAUCCUGGCAGUGUCUUAUGCAUGUGCUACACAUUGCAGUUCGAGGAUGCCCAAUGUUACUCAGUGUGUGACAUUUUGUUACUACUGUAGCAUGUAAUCACUUGGGAUGUCCCUCUUUUAGGAUUGAAAUGGUAAAAUUUUCAGAUUUAUACACUUUAUAUCUAUUUUUCUAACAGAGGAACAAAUGACUGUAAUGUUGUGAUUUGGACUUUUGGUAGGGUUUUAUUCCCUCUGCUAACCAACAAAUUUGUUAUUCUUUAUAAGGAAUCUUAAUUAGCAUUUGGAAACUGUAAGAGAGGGUUGAAUGCAUCGUCUAUCUUUCCUAAAUACAUUCACUACAGUGCACAGUUAUAUAGACACUGGUGCAUAUUUUCUCACUGAGGAGGUUGUGGGAAAGAAUUGAUUAAAGCUAUCAUUGCAUUUGUAGUUAAUAACUUGAUGUUCAUUUUUCAGUUUGUAGAAAUUAUUAAUUCAACUACUUGUCAAUGUAUGCAUAAAUAUUCAAGUAUAAAUAGAUUUGCAUAGAGAUUGAAAGGCUGCACUUUUUCAAUAUUUUUCUUGGUCUUGUUUUUCACAAGCUUGGUUUACUUGUACUCUCUUUUCUAUUAAAUUUUCUUCUUCUUUUAUUAAAAAAAUAGUUCGAUUAGUAUAAGUUAUGAGUAAUUUGUUAGUACUGGCAAUGUAUUCUGAUGAUUGCUUUUUGUCAAACUCUUGUUUCAGACAUUUUUGUUGUGGCAAUUGGCUUUCUCUACUAUUCUCCUAGGGAGAAGGUAUUCAUUAAAUAAAAUUGUUGGAUGCUUACUUGUAGCUGCUAGCGUGGUCAUUGCAGUUGCAAGGUACUACAACUUUCUACCUCAUCUUUAGUGGAUUCUAAUUACAGUAAAUAUUUCAAUUUCUUUUGCUGAAAAAUGUGCUGAAGCACUGGUUUAAAUCUAACCAGAGGUAACACCAACUACUUGGAUUGAAUACAAUCCACAUCUUCUCCAUGAUUAAUGUGAAAUUGUUACAUUGCUAUAUUCUUUAGUAAUGAAUUCAAUAAUCACUGAGCAAUGAAAACCAACUAGAUAAUGAAACUCAUACAAGCACACAUUUAAUUAAUAAGUCUACCAUGCACACAUUGUCCCAAGAUACUUAUUUAUGGUGGGAGCUCAUAUCUUAGAGAGCGGGAUUAUGCGAGAUUCAGAUAGAUUGUUGAUAAGUGCGGCGCUGUUUUGAUGUGUGACAUGGAUCAAAUUAGUGGUCUUAUAGCAGCUAACGUGAAAUAUUCAUGUUUAAACUCUGUAUCAAAUUUCAAAGACCACUAUGAAUGAUUUUGACAAUGUGCAACGUUCACAAUACACGAUUUUUACGAUGCAACAGUCAGCCAUGAAUUUGCACUAAAUAUCCCGGAUUGGGGCCUCAGUGUGUGAUUAGAUCAGUUAGUUACUACUUGUGUCCUCAAAAGGAUGUCUAAGAGUACAAUGGGCUUGCAAAUUUAAGGUUGGCAAAUUACAGGAGAGAGAAUAAAAAUUGUUCCAAUAAUAUUUGGACCCACACAAAUAGUGUAAUUAACUUGAGAGUGGAAUGUUCUUAUGGGCAUAUGUGCACUUUGGGUUAAAUUAUUAUGCAUGUCAUAUUUCACAUUUAGUUUAUGUACUUUAAACUUUUUUUAGGACAAAAUCUUGGUGUAUUUCUGGACAUGCUUUUGAGAAUGGAGUAUCGAGUUAUAUGACCUUGUAAUAAAGAUGGUCCAUGUAAUCUGUAGAAAAUAAGAACCUGAUUUUGGGAUAACGAUUUCUUGAUUCAUUCUUCUCAAUUACAUUGGCUGAUAUACACAAGUAUCUUAAUUUAUAGUGUACAUUAGUACCACGUAGCAAUCUAUUGUCUUUUUCUACUUAUAAGCAAAAUACGGUGUACAUUAUUACCAUGUAUUAACUCUAUUGUCUUUGUGUAUUGAUUUUGGCACUAAGUGCCUCUGGUGACCUAUUUGCUUAAUUUUCUUGAUUUUGCUAUUAUUUUUAAAUAUGUGCAGGAAGAUUGCUUCUACGACCUGCCUUACAGUACUGGGUAUCAAAUUUUCGUGUUUACGUUUACGGAAGACAAGGGACGAAAUUAUGAAGUGUACUCUCUCUAUAUAUGUAGAUAUAUACUUUGAUUGAAGAACUGUGGUAGCUUUAGAUGGAUAAUGAAUGAUUAUGUAGUGGAUGAUUUUAUUAAGUUAAUAAUAUUUUAGUUUAUUGUAUUUUUGCCAUUAUUUUCUAUGGGGACAUUGAGCUAGUCAGG